GGGAAAUUAUGUGCAAUAUGGGGUGACUUGGCAAUUUGAAUAUAUGUGAAUAUAGCCAGUAUAUACUUUACAAAAGCACAUGAGAAAUAUAUAUACAGUAUAAUGUAUUAUUUGUUUACUUUACAUGUCCUCCUUUAUGAAAAGUCAGGAUAUUUUACAAUGUUUAAUAAAAUUAUUUGAAAUGGACAUAAUGUACACAUUGCUUUUGAAUAAUAAGGGAUAUGUUUAAUGUUCUUAGACUCUGUGUGUAAAUUGUGAAUUUAGUUGUAGGAUUGACAGAUGGGUGUAUAAAACAAGCCUGGUAUAUACAGAGAGGGAGUAAUAUGCUCAUUAUAUAACGACUAUUUGUAAUGUACCAGUCUAGGUAGAAUGUUUGUUAAAUGUAUGCUGACGGUGUGUAAUGUAUUUUCUGUACAAGGUCUGUGUAGAAUGUGUUCUCAUUUUAAUAGGAUUGUACAAUGUUUUCUCAUGGUAUUUAAAGAGUAGGCAAAAUGAAAUAUUAUGGCACUGGAUGCAUUGUAUGAAUAUUAUCCCAGGAAGUAGUUUGAAGAAUUAAUGUAAGAAGGCGCAGUGGGAUAUGUGCAGCGGUCCAGAGCUCAAUGUUUAUGCAUAGGCAAAGUAAAAUGUAUAUAAGAGUUAUAAAGAAUAUGUGGUUAGAAUAAGAACUGGAAGAGACUACACAAUGAUUGGGGUGGGUAGUAUGAAUGUAGAGUGCAGCGUACUAUUGGGGGUCUGAGUAAAAUAUAUUUGCUGUACAAAUUUACACAAAGGUAGGAAAUAAUAUGUGUAAUGUACUCUUGGAAAUGUGAAUGAAAUAUACAACCUGCUGCAUAGGUGGGUAGGAUGCAAUAAACCCUCAAAGGGUGGAAUAUAACCUGGGUGGGAUGCAAUAAAUGUAAAAAAAAAAGCAGGACAGAAAAUGUGCUUAGUAUAUACGAGCUUGGUAAAAUGAAUGCUCAGUAUGAAAAGGCUGGAUGUAAUGUAAUCUCCCAAUGCCUUGGAAGGAUAGAUAUUUUUGGGGGUUAUUUAUUGAGAAACCAUGAGAGUGAUGUACCUUCCUGUCUCUGGUAAAGCUGCC